UACGGAGGGUGCGAGCGUUGUCCGGAAUCACUGGGCGUAAAGGGCGCGUAGGUGGCCCGUGGAAGUCUGCGGUGAAAGCCCGGCGCUCAACGCCGGGUCGGCCGUGGAUACUCUCGGGCUUGAGCUUACUAGAGGCAGAUGGAAUUCCGGGGUGUAGCGGUGGAAUGCGUAGAGAUCCGGAAGAACACCGGUGGCGAAGGCGGUCUGCUGGGGUAAUGCUGGACACUGAUGCGCGACAGCGGUGGGGAGCAAACAGG
rnacentral:rRNA from 1 species